GAUCCUGGCUCAGGAUGAACGCUAGCUACAGGCUUAACACAUGCAAGUCGAGGGGAAACGAUAGAGAAAGCUUGCUUUUUCUAGGCGUCGACCGGCGCACGGGUGAGUAACGCGUAUCCAACCUGCCCAUCACUUGGGGAUAACCUUGCGAAAGUAAGACUAAUACCCAAUGACGUCUCUAGAAGACAUCUGAAAGAGAUUAAAGAUUUAUCGGUGAUGGAUGGGGAUGCGUCUGAUUAGCUUGUUGGCGGGGUAACGGCCCACCAAGGCGACGAUCAGUAGGGGUUCUGAGAGGAAGGUCCCCCACAUUGGAACUGAGACACGGUCCAAACUCCUACGGGAGGCAGCAGUGAGGAAUAUUGGUCAAUGGACGAGAGUCUGAACCAGCCAAGUAGCGUGCAGGAUGACGGCCCUAUGGGUUGUAAACUGCUUUUAUAAGGGAAUAAAGUGAGUCUCGUGAGGCUUUUGCAUGUACCUUAUGAAUAAGGACCGGCUAAUUCCGUG
rnacentral:rRNA from 1 species